AACCUCCGCAAUGUGAGAAAUCGCGACGGGGGGAUCCCAAGUGCCAUUCUUAACGGGAUGGCUUUUCAUUAGUGUAAAGAGCUUUUGGAAUAAGAGCUGGGCAAGACCGGUGCCAGCCGCCGCGGUAACACCGGCAGCUCUAGUGGUAACAAUUUUUAUUGGGCCUAAAGCGUCCGUAGCCGGUUUAAUAAGUCUCUGGUGAAAUCCUGUAGCUUAACUGUGGGAAUUGCUGGAGAUACUAUUAGACUUGAGACCGGGAGAGGUUAGAGGUGCUCCCAGGGUAGAGGUGAAAUUCUGUAAUCCUGGGAGGACCGCCUGUUGCGAAGGCGUCUAACUGGAACGGUUCUGACGGUGAGGGACGAAAGUUAGGGGCGCGAACCGGAUUAGAUACCCGGGUAGUCCUAACUGUAAACGAUGCGGACUUGGUGUUGGGGUGGCUUUGAGCUGCUCCAGUGCCGAAGGGAAGCUGUUAAGUCCGCCGCCUGGGAAGUACGGUCGCAAGACUGAAACUUAAAGGAAUU
rnacentral:rRNA from 1 species